GCUGGCGGCGUGCCUAAUACAUGCAAGUCGAACGAAACUUCUUUAUCACCGAGUGCUUGCACUCACCGAUAAAGAGUUGAGUGGCGAACGGGUGAGUAACACGUGGGUAACCUGCCCUAAAGUCUGGGAUACCACUUGGAAACAGGUGCUAAUACCGGAUAACAGCAAUAGCUGCAUGGCUAUUGCUUAAAAGGCGGCGUAAGCUGUCGCUAAAGGAUGGACCCGCGGUGCAUUAGCUAGUUGGUAAGGUAACGGCUUACCAAGGCGACGAUGCAUAGCCGAGUUGAGAGACUGAUCGGCCACAUUGGGACUGAGACACGGCCCAAACUCCUACGGGAGGCAGCAGUAGGGAAUCUUCCACAAUGGGCGAAAGCCUGAUGGAGCAACGCCGCGUGAGUGAAGAAGGUUUUCGGAUCGUAAAGCUCUGUUGUUGGUGAAGAAGGAUAGAGGUAGUAACUGGCCCCUAUUUGACGGUAAUCAACCAGAAAGUCACGGCUAACUACGUGCCAGCAGCCGCGGUAAUACGUAGGUGGCAAGCGUUGUCCGGAUUUAUUGGGCGUAAAGCGAGCGCAGGCGGAAAGAUAAGUCUGAUGUGAAAGCCCCCGGCUUAACCGAGGAAUUGCAUCGGAAACUGUGUUUCUUGAGUGCAGAAGAGGAGAGUGGAACUCCAUGUGUAGCGGUGGAAUGCGUAGAUAUAUGGAAGACACCAGUGGCGAAGCGGCUCUCUGGUCUGUAACUGACGCUGAG
rnacentral:rRNA from 1 species